rnacentral:rRNA from 1 species
GACGAACGCUGGCGGCGUGCUUCAUGCAUGCAAGUCGAACGAGAAGCUGACUUCGGUCAGUGGAAAGUGGCGGACGGGUGAGUAAUAUGUAGGAAAUCUGCCUUUAGGAGGGGGACAACAGAGGGAAACUUCUGCUAAUACCCCAUAUGAGCGUAGCUGAAAUGCUAUUCUUGAAAACUCCGGUGCCUAAAGAUGAGCCUGCAUCUGAUUAGCUAGUUGGUAGUGUAAUGGACUACCAAGGCGACGAUCAGUAGCUGGUUUGAGAGGAUGAUCAGCCACAAUGGGACUGAGACACGGGCCAUACUCCUACGGGAGGCAGCAGUAGGGAAUUUUACGCAAGGGGCGAGAGCCAGACGCAGCAACGCCUCGUGAACGAUUAAGCCCUUCGGGGUGUAAAGUUCUGUCAGUGGGGACGAAACUUGACGGUACCCACAGAGGAAGCACCGGCUAACUCCGUG